CGAGUGGGGCAGGCGAUCGCGGUCUCAGCAUCAGCAAUGGUGGUGGGAUCGAGGAAAGUCGGGACUCCAAAGGACAGCAUGCUGGCUAACGGCCAGUCGGGGUGACCCGCAGGAAAGUGCCACAGAAAACAGACCGCCGAUGGGCCGGGAAACCGGUCACAGGUGAGGGUGAAACGGUGCGGUAAGAGCGCACCAGUAACCGGGGUGACUCGGUUAGCUCGGUAAACCCCAUGCGGAGCAAGAUCAAACAGGGGAACGGGCGGUCCGUCCCCGGCUCCGGCCGGUAACCCCAGGUAGAUCGCAUAGAUGGAUGAUCGUCCAACGACAGAAUCCCGCUUAUCGCCCCACUCGCAUU
rnacentral:RNase_P_RNA from 1 species